rnacentral:misc_RNA from 1 species
GUGCUUCAGGCAGAGAACGCGACCUAUCCGUGGUAUCCCGCGUCCGUCACCAAGAUCAUGACGGCCUAUGUCGCGCUCAAGGCGGUCAAGGACGGCCGCAUGACGCUCGACACGCUGCUGACCGUGUCACCGACGGCGGCUGCGCAAGCGCCCUCGAAAAUGGGCUUCCGGCCCGGCACGCAGGUCACGCUCGAUAACGCGCUCAAGAUGAUGAUGGUGAAGUCGGCGAACGACAUUGCCGUUGUCAUCGCCGAAGGCGUUGGCGG